CCUACGGGAGGCAGCAGUGAGGAAUAUUGGUCAAUGGACGAGAGUCUGAACCAGCCAAGUAGCGUGAAGGAUGACUGCCCUAUGGGUUGUAAACUUCUUUUAUAUGGGAAUAAAAUGUUCCACGUGUGGGAUUUUGUAUGUACCAUAUGAAUAAGGAUCGGCUAACUCCGUGCCAGCAGCCGCGGUAAUACGGAGGAUCCGAGCGUUAUCCGGAUUUAUUGGGUUUAAAGGGAGCGUAGGUGGGUUGUUAAGUCAGUUGUGAAAGUUUGCGGCUCAACCGUAAGAUUGCAGUUGAUACUGGCAGUCUAGAGUACAGUAGAGGUGAGCGGAAUUCGUGGUGUAGCGGUGAAAUGCUUAGAUAUCACGAAGAACUCCGAUUGCGAAGGCAGCUCACUGGACUGCAACUGACACUGAGGCUCGAAAGUGUGGGUAUCAAACAGGAUUAGAUACCCUGGUAGUC
rnacentral:rRNA from 1 species